CUUGACUGUAGCUUGGAAUUGGGUUCGGGCUCUUCUUGCGCAGCCUAGGUGGGAGGCAAUGAAGGUUGGCUUUUGGGCCAACUGGAGCCAUCAGUGAGAGACCACUCUGGAGGAGCUAGAAUUCUAAUGGCGUUCCUUGAAGCAGGACGCUUGACAGUUUCAGGUGGGCAGUUUGACUGGGGCGGUCACCUCCUAAAAGGUAACGGAGGUGUGCAAAGGUUCCCUCAGGCUGGACGGAAAUCAGCCGGAGAGUGUAAAGGCAGAAGGGAGCUUGACUGCAAGACCUACAAGGCGAGCAGGGGCGAAAGCCGGCCGUAGUGAUCCGACGGUUCCAUGUGGAAGGGCCGUCGCUCAACGGAUAAAAGUUA
rnacentral:rRNA from 1 species